rnacentral:lncRNA from 1 species
UUCCAACUCGGUUACAUCUCAUAUGUCCUCAAGACUCUCCGCACUUUCUGUCUUCUGAACAAGACGCUUCCAAUCAAUCUCUGUCUGGGAUUAGCCGAGUCAUAUCCAAAGCACUAACGAUCAUGCUGGACGCAGUUGUUCGUUUCAUUCCCUCUUUUGCCUGGACCGCCCUUUCGGGUCUUCAGUCCACCGGGAUACCCCUUUUUGCCCAAGUCGCCCUUGUGGGGUUUUCGACUUGCCGGGUGUACAGUUCUUUUCUUUUCUUAUCCCUAACUUUUGCCCGAACCUUUUCUCUUUUUUCUUUUUGUUUUUGGUUCGCCGGGAUGCCCAUUUUUGCCUGGACUCUUU